UACGUAGGGUGCAAGCGUUGCCCGGAUUUAUUGGGCGUAAAGGGCGCGUAGGCGGCUCGGCACGUCCGUUGUGAAAUCGCCCGGCUCAACUGGGCGGGGUCAGCGGAUACGGCCGAGCUUGAGCAAGCUAGGGGGCAAUGGAAUUCCCGGUGUAGUGGUGGAAUGCGUAGAUAUCGGGAGGAACACCAGUGGCGAAGGCGACUUCCUGGACCUGUUCUGACGCUGAGGAGCGAAAGCGUGGGGAGCGAUCCGG
rnacentral:rRNA from 1 species